UAUCUAAAAAGACCUGUGCAACCAAAUAAAUACAAGAGGACAUGGUCUGAAAACGGGAAAUGAUGGCUGCUGUGCACGCAGAGCUAAUGACCCUUGAAAAAAAGAAGGCUGAAAAACUCAUUAUAAAUUACAUCAGGAAAAUUAUUUUGGCUGCAAAUGAGAAGCUACUGAAUGAAACUUCUCGGGUAGGUGUAAAC